rnacentral:rRNA from 1 species
AGCGAACGCUGGCGGCAGGCUUAACACAUGCAAGUCGAGCGGGCACUUCGGUGUCAGCGGCAGACGGGUGAGUAACACGUGGGAACGUGCCCUUCGGUUCGGAAUAACUCAGGGAAACUUGAGCUAAUACCGGAUACGCCCUUUUGGGGAAAGGUUUACUGCCGAAGGAUCGGCCCGCGUCUGAUUAGUUAGUUGGUGGGGUAAUGGCCUACCAAGGCGACGAUCAGUAGCUGGUCUGAGAGGAUGAUCAGCCACACUGGGACUGAGACACGGCCCAGACUCCUACGGGAGGCAGCAGUGGGAAUAUUGGACAAUGGGCGCAAGCCUGAUCCAGCCAUGCCGCGUGAGUGAUGAAGGCCCUAGGGUUGUAAAGC